rnacentral:rRNA from 1 species
UACGGGGGGAGCAAGCGUUGUUCGGAUUUACUGGGCGUAAAGGGUGUGCAGGCUGCCCCUCAAGUGGUGUAUGAAAGGGCUCGGCUCAACCGGGCUAGGUUAUGCCAGACUGAGGGGCUAGAGAGCGAGAGAGGGAUGUGGAAUUCCAGGUGUAGCGGUGAAAUGCGUAGAUAUCUGGAGGAACACCGGUGGCGAAGGCGGCAUCCUGGACCGAUAUUGACGCUGAUGCGCGAAAGCCAGGGGAGCAAACGGG